AACAGCUGAAAAAGCUGAUUAAUUAAGCCUUUGUCACUAAUUGCAACUCCUGACAUCUUGGAAAAAAGAAUCAGUGUAUUAUAUUGAUAGCAGAUGCAAUAAUUGUAUUCCAUAAGAAACAAAAUGUUGAUUUGGAAAAAUGGUGGUUAAAGUUUACUUAGUUCUAUAGGUAUUGCUCUUUGAUUUUUACUGUGCAGAAGGCACGCUUUGUUAAACUGCAUUUGCCUUCAGGGCGUGGUGCUAAAUAACAGGUUGUAAGUAAGAUAAUGAAGAUUUAGCACCUUGAAAAGUAAUGCUACCUCAUAUCAUUUAUGCUAUCAGUGUAAAGUGAGGACAAUUAUUCUCCACUGUAAUCUCACUGCAGACAACACCCUCUGACUGAUGGAGCUUUAGGACCAGGAAGUGGAGCGAAUGACCUUUCCAUCUUGCUUCUGUUUCAGCUGCAACAAAAAAGAGAGACUAACUAAUCUGAACGUCUGUGGAAACAGUGCAGUUCAUUUAAAGGUUUAAACCAUGCCACAUGUCUCUUUUAUAACUUUAUUAACAAGGCACUCCACUCGGGGAGGAAUUGGCAAACCUAUUGGUGACUAUGAGUUGUGUUUACCAGCAUGCAGCCAGUGCGUGUGGAAUCCAUGGUGGUGAUUGAACUGAGACAGGAGGUUGACUGCUGGUAGGUUUGCUUUUAAUGGGGCUAGAUUCUAUCAAUCUGACUUUAACUCAGUGUGUCUGGCAUUUCCCCCAGUCCUGGGGCUUAGCAUUGCUGUCAGACAAUGCUAUAAGCUUUCAGAUCUUUCCACUUCUUAAAAAAAAAAAAAAAAAGCCAGAUUCACUGUUUCGGGUUGAGGCAGAAAACUUCACUCAGCCAUGUGAGACAGUGGGAGGCGGCUUGGCGAAGCCGAGACUUCACACCAAAUAGAUAAUGACACACAGUUAAAUCAUCCACCUCCCAGCUGUAUGUUUAUCUCUUCGGUCUUUAUCAUUUUUGUGUCUGUCUGGAUCCAUCUGUAUGGAAAAUAUAGUUAUUGUAUCCAAGUAGCCAACACACAAACAACUGGCUCUAAACCCAGAGAUUUUCACUCAUCACUUGAUUUUUAUUCGCAAUUUCUCUGUCCUUACACGACCUCUGUAUGUCCUGUGCUCAGUUGCUUCAGUGUAUGAUUCUCUCAGUAAUACUCUCACCUACAAACCCCUGCAGCUCGAGGAGGAUGAUAUCGUACUUGUGUAACUAUAUAUAAGUAAUAUGUAACCUUUGUGUGUGUUCUUACCUUUUAGAUUUUAAUUGAAUUUGCAUUUUUGUGCUUUUUUGUUUUGUUUGGGGGGGUUGGUUGUAUAUAUUGUACUAUUCUUAGUUAGCGUAUUGUCUGUCUUGUCUUAAUGUUGGUUUAAAAUGGAGCACUGUAACAAAAAAUAAUUUCCCCCAGGGAUCAAUAAAGUAUUCUGAUUCUGAUUCUGAUUCUGAUUUUUGCUUUUUGGAAGCAAAACAUCACACGUUUUAUAUUUCAUAUUAUGUCUUCUG
ensembl:lncRNA